UAGCAUCUUUUUAGAUGGAGGUGGGGUGAAGUGUAGAUUUAAAAGAAGAAUGGGGUGGUGUGUCGGGGAUGAGAAUAUUUUACUCCAGAGUCUAGAGGCCUCCUUAAGUUCCUCUUUAAGCCAGAAAAGAUUAUUGCAAUUGCGGAUACCCGAGUCAGGAAGAGAAUUGCAGAAUGAAUGAAACUGACGCACCUCUCUUCUCUUCUGUUCACGACCUCCACCCCCUCGAGACCCACUCGCAGACGAAGUUGAAGCGGCAGAGGGGGGAUCCCAGACCUCACGGAGCCUCCAAAACCAUUGGUGCCGCCGUUCAAGCUCGAGUUCCUUGUAGAGUUAGCCACUUCCAAAGAUAUCGAGCUGGUCGCGUGACACGUUCCUCUGACCAGCGAGGCCCCGUCAUCGGCAUCUCCUUCAUUAACCGACACACCAUCGACUAGCUCAUGGGUCGGUUUCCACUACACUGAGUGCCCUGGGCUUGAGGAGGGACCUUGGCCAAGAAUGGGACUGGGCCCAAGAGAGUCCUCUGGCCCAAGAAAAAACGGAUUUUUGUCCAAUAUGGGUCCAACUGGCCGCAAAAUAUUGUUGUCCAGGUUCAGUAGAGAAACCAUAAGCAUGCCCACAUUUAAUUGGCCCUCACUCCUUCCCAUCUUAAAAAGAGGAGAGUCAACUUUGAUUCCUUGCCUCGAAUCCUCCCCGCCGUUUAAUUCUCUAGAAGUUGACAAAACCUGAUCACAAACAUUAUAAACGUCAACCAAUCAUGGGACGUCUGCUUAUUUUGUUCCUGAAGCAUUUAAUUGACUUCUACCUUCUCUAACACGCCCAACCAGGCCAACGUCAUCCUCUCCUACCAAACUUCUCGAGUGGCAAAUCUGAUCACCGGUGGCGCCCUCAUCCUCCCCUGCGUCUUCAACUGAGUUAAUGGAGUUCAAAUCCGCUUCCUUAUUGGACCAAUCACUGGAUAUUGAGUCUUCGUCAUCCUCCACAGAAAGACAGCGCAGCCUGGUCCUUGAGCAGAGCAAGUUUCUUCAAACAAACGGACCCUAAAGUUGAACCCCUUCCAAGACACAACUUUGGACAAGGAAAUCUGGUCCUCAGCCAUAGUUCUGAUGCGCAACCUUGCCCAGUCCAGUCUGUUGAAAGAAGAGGUCUCCUAUCGAUGGAGAUCAGGGAGCCAAGUUUCUCUACCAGUUGCUUGAAACACUGCCAGUUCCAAAGGUGCAAAGGCAGGCCUUCACACCUUACCCAGGUAAGUCUAUGACUGGGAACAAAGUGAGGUUGCCAAGGGCUAACCUAUUCAAAGAGGCUCUCCAUCCACUCCUUUGCCCCUUCCAAAGAUUCCUCCAAAUGCUCUUGCUCUUCCCCACUAAGAAGAACCCAGUUGUCACCAAUGUAUCUCACCUUGAUAGCUUUGAACCCUUCCAAGUAAAAGCUUUCUUGUAACGAUUCUACAGUCCCCAAGUGCCUCAGCUUCCCUACAAGACUCCUCUGUAGCCACGCAUCAACCUCCCUCUCCUUGUGGAUAGCCUCAACCUUCAAGGAAAAGCCCCUGACUUUGAUCUUCCAAGUCUCAGAGACCUUGAUAGGCGUUGUGGGCUGAGCAGCUUUCAUCGGUGCAAGUCCGGAGAUCAACGCUUGCUUAAAGGAUCUACCAAAGGGGUACUCGUUCUCCACUUGUGUCGUCUUCACACUCUCCCUCUGCAUCUUCUUGAAGCUGGAGCGAGGCCCCUGUGUAAGAUCAAGAUUUGGUCAUGUGGUACAACUCUAUGUUUUGAUGAUAACAAGUAUUUAUUUGUGGAUGAAUAAUUAUGGUACUCUAACGUUUGUCUUGAGUGUUUUGACAAACAUGUUCUGAUUCUGAUACCAGAAAAUAUAUUCAUCAGAAGAUCUGAAGAUCAGAAGAUCUAAAGAUCAGAAGAUCUGAGGAUCAGAAGCUCUGAAGGUCCAGAAGCUCUGAAGGUCCAGAAGCUAAGAAGUGAAAACUCUGAAGUCCAAGAGUAAGCUGGUUCUAAAGACCAAAUACUUUCUACUCUGAGGUCCAGAAGCAGAAGUUACGAAGGUCAGAGGAUCCAAGCUUCCCUCUGACUCUGAUCACCAAGCUUCACAAGUUCCAACAUGAAGCGUCGUCAGAUCAGAAGUCAAUGGUUAAAGGCAAAUGUCUCUAUCAAGUAGUACAAGAGCAGUGUACUAUUCUGACAAGCCUACCUACCAAGGUUCAGCCACAGCAGGUUCUGGAAGUUCCAGAAAUGCCCUCCAACGGUCACAUUCUCUCAACAGAAAUAUCCUUUGCACCUUGGACUAUUUAAGGCUGAAGAAAAGAAGAAAGACAAGUGAGAGAAACCAAGAGUUGCAAUACAAGAAAGAUUCAAGCCUUCACUUUCUUCAUCUGUUCUUAUUUAGUUUACACUUAGCUUAUUCAGAAGCAAACCUUUGUAAACACCAACCUCAAACAGUUGUUUGUUUUUCCUUAAGGGACCGGGUAGGUCAGUAUCCUUAAGAAGACUAGGAUCUGUGUAUCUUAGUGGUGAUUCCUUAAGGGACCAGUUAGGUCAGUAUCCUUGAGAAGACUAAGAGAGUGAAUCUUAGUGUUUACUAGUUCAUUGUAUUGUUAGUCACUGAGCAGGUUGCUAGUGCAGUUGUAUCAAACUCUGAAUAGUGGAUUGCCUUCAUUCUAAGAAGGAAAAAAUCA